rnacentral:rRNA from 1 species
AUUGAACGCUGGCGGCAGGCCUAACACAUGCAAGUCGAGCGAGCGGCGGACGGGUGAGUAACGUCUGGGAAACUGCCUGAUGGAGGGGGAUAACUACUGGAAAUGGUAGCUAAUACCGCAUACCAUCUGAUGUGCCCAGAUGGGAUUUGCUUGUAGGUGGGGUAACGGCCCACGUCGGCGACGAGCCCUAGCUGGUCUGCGAGGAGGACCAGCCACACGGGAACUGGGACACGGUCCAGGCGCCUACGGGAGGCAGCAGUCGGGAAUAUUGCACAAUGGGCGGAAGCCUGAUGCAGCGAGGCGGCGUGUGAGAAGAAGGCCUUCGGGUGGUAAAGCACGUUCAGCGGGUAGGCGUUACCCGCAGAAGAAGCACCGGCUAACUCCGUGCCAGCAGCCGCGGUAAUAC